GGCGUAAAGCGCGCGCAGGCGGUCCUUUAAGUCUGAUGUGAAAGCCCACGGCUCAACCGUGGAGGGUCAUUGGAAACUGGGGGACUUGAGUGCAGAAGAGGAAAGUGGAAUUCCAAGUGUAGCGGUGAAAUGCGUAGAGAUUUGGAGGAACACCAGUGGCGAAGGCGACUUUCUGGUCUGUAACUGACGCUGAGGCGCGAAAGCGUGGGGAGCAAACAGGAUUAGAUACCCUGGUAGUCCACGCCGUAAACGAUGAGUGCUAAGUGUUAGGGGGUUUCCGCCCCUUAUUGCUGCAGCUAACGCAUUAAGCACUCCGCCUGGGGAGUACGGUCGCAAGACUGAAACUCAAAGGAAUUGACGGGGGCCCGCACACGCGGUGGAGCAUGUGGUUUAAUUCGA
rnacentral:rRNA from 1 species